GAAUAACGAAAGCCUUGGGUGCAAUCUUAAAUGAAUUGUGUUAAUUAAAGCUAGCUGGUGUAUCUUGGGAGAGUGCACUAGUAUAUUACUGUAAUUGCUCGGGAGAAAGUUACGGUGAGGCGAUUGUUCAUGAUUGAUAAUGUGUGUUGGUAAAUUUGUAUGAAGCAUAAACAUAAGGGAUUCUAUCAAUAGGGGAAGUCAUUACCUUAGCGUUUCUCUCAUAUUUGUCUACAACCUUAGUUAUUUAGUUAUAGCUUGUUAUUUUUCUGCAAACUUAGUUCGUAAAGAAACCUCAAACUGUAAUUUGAAAGUCUUGGGAAGCUGGUUCUAAAGAAUUUAGUGAGUCUAAAGGUAGCAGUUGAUAGGUUAACUCUCUGUGGAUUCGACCCUGG
rnacentral:lncRNA from 1 species